GUUGUGGUGGCAGAGUAGUUUUGCAAAAGGCCUAAGCCCUUUAUACGAAGGUUCAAAUCCUUCCCCCAACU
rnacentral:tRNA from 1 species